ensembl:lncRNA
GAACAGUAACCAAUCACUGCAGUCUGAAUGCUUCUCUUUGGUCAUGUGACCAUUUGAUCUCUGAUCAGUGUGUUCUUCAGUUUCAGGCCUGUUUCUGCUGACUGCUGCAGGUGUGUGUGUGCUGCUGCUGUCUGCUCUGACCGUUUCUACAGCUCCUCCUCCCUGUGAGUCUGUGCUGAGGCUCUUCUGCCAUCUAGUGGUCUUCUGUCCGUACUGCAUCUCCACUGGUCUGCUGCUGUCCAUCUCUUGGAGCAGAAAACAACCAAACAAACCGUCCGUCUCCAUGGAGAUGAGCCAGCGUGAUGGAGGAGGUCAGGGACUGGUUGAAGAUGAUG